rfam:Spizellomyces punctatus DAOM BR117 chromosome Tnknown supercont1.14, whole genome shotgun sequence.
GCAUUGGUGGUUUAGUGGUAUAAUUACCGCCUGCCACGCGGUAGACCCGAGUUCGAUUCUCGGCCAAUGCA